CACUCACUCGAUUCUAAUUAAUUUAUUCAUUAAACCUGGAUCAAACAAUUUUCUCCUACCUCCCCUGCUAAGUAUUAUUUUUGUCCAAGAGUGUUCAGUCGUCUUGGGGAAGGUUCUUUGACGAGGGGGGACUAGAGAGGCGUACAUUUUUGCCCGAUAAAUCGAGAGCCUGGGUAUGAGUUUGUCGAACACCUCGAAGAUUGAGGUCGGCCAGCUUGGGUUGAUGUGAUUUUCUCUCGUAAAUAUGUUGUUUUUUUACCUAUCAGCUUUUGCUCACACCUAGAUGAAAGCUGGUAGAGGUAUUUAUGACUGUGGUCUUGUAUCGUUCACAACAGCACGGUCGGCGAGGUCAAAGAAUUGAUACAAGGACACCCGGGAAGACAAGGCCAGAAUGUGUUAUCGUGAUUAGCUUUUUUCCUUGGCAAGAGAAUUUGAUGAUUUCCACUCGCUUUCUCUGGUUGUGUACUCUAAGUUCGACCAGAGUGAAAAUUUCUUCACGGAUGCGAUGCAAGGCAACCUACAUGUACGAUUGAGUAAAUAUACACUGUAAUAUUUUAGUGAUGGAUGAACAAAUUAAGUCUAAGAGACUGUGUAGAUCUAUUUGUUUGCGAGAAAGAUAUACUGUCCAAUUGUGUCGAAAAGCCGGAAGCAUGGUGGCUGGUGAUGUAGAUUUUUUUUGCUCCUAGAAAUGAGAGAUUUCAACAAAUUGACAUCAAAACUUGAAUUAUGGAAAAGAGAAUGCUUGAUACUUGUCAACAUUAGUAUGUUCUGUAAUCGUUGCAAAAGUCUAUUAGCAGAGACAUAUCUGUAAUCCUUUUGAAUACUGCUGCAUUGGUAGUGAGACCAGCACAAACAAUUACCAAGACAUAUAGGGAUAAAACACCGUGAUUUUAGUUUCCAAGAAAGAAAAUUAUUGUUAUUUUACUUGCAUGCACUACAAUAUGUAGUAUUCUUAUUAUUGUAUUGCACCAAGCUGGGGGACUUCUUCCUACAGUUGACUAAAGGUGCACUUUUUUUCAGGCUGGAGGUGUUAUAAGACUUAACAGGACAGGGAUUUCAAACAUUAAUAAUUUUGAUUAUUUAUCUCAGAAAUAAGAUCUAGUGGGCCACAUAAGGUUUGUGAAAGGGGUUUCAGGCUAAAAGCUACACGUAUAUGAAAGGAAAGCCUAUCCUGUUAAAAACACUGUAAAAUGGGUAGGUUUCUGACCUUGGGCCAGAGCCUCCUUGUGUAAAACUUUGUUACUUUCCUUCCUCCUUUUCAUGGACAUAGUUCUAUAGAAAAAAACCUUAUAAAUUGGAAAUAAAAACAUUCCCAACACUUCAGGUUCAUGAUUGAAACAAAACUGUCUGAAAUCAGUCUUAUAAUAUUGAAGGAAAUACGUAUUUUUUCUAUAGAUUUCUUGACUUAGCUCAAAGUAAACAAGAUUUUGCCAAUAUCCAUGUCUCACUUAAGUAAAUUGGGCAAAAUACUCUUGGCAGUCCUGGCAUUGUUAAGUUGAUUGUCUAAAAUAAAUUUCAUAACCAUGUAUUGUAAUUUUUGCAUAAUAGUAAUCAUUGUUAU